rnacentral:rRNA from 1 species
UACGUAGGGUGCACGCGUUGUCCGGAAUUAUUGGGCGUAAAGAGCUUGUAGGCGGUUUGUCGCGUCUGCUGUGAAAUUUCGGGGCUCAACCCCGAACUUGCAGUGGGUACGGGCAGACUAGAGUGUGGUAGGGGAGACUGGAAUUCCUGGUGUAGCGGUGAAAUGCGCAGAUAUCAGGAGGAACACCGAUGGCGAAGGCAGGUCUCUGGGCCAUAACUGACGCUGAGAAGCGAAAGCAUGGGGAGCGAACAGG